rnacentral:rRNA from 1 species
ACGCUGCGGCGUGCCUAAUACAUGCAAGUAGAACGCUGAAGGAGGAGCUUGCUUCUCUGGAUGAGUUGCAACGGGUGAGUAACGCGUAGGUAACCUGCCUGGUAUGGGGGAUAACUAAUUGGAAACGAUAGCUAAUACCGCAUAAGAGUAGAUGUUGCAUGACAUUUGCUUAAAAGGUGCAAUUGCAUCACUACCAGAUGGACCUGCGUUGUAUUAGCUAGUUGGUGGGGUAACGGCUCACCAAGGCGACGAUACAUAGCCGACCUGAGAGGGUGAUCGGCCACACUGGGACUGAGACACGGCCCAGACUCCUACGGGAAGCAGCAGUAGGGAAUCUUCGGCAAUGGACGGAAGUCUGACCGAGCAACGCCGCGUGAGUGAAGAAGGUUUUCGGAUCGUAAAGCUCUGUUGUAAGAGAAGAACGAGUGUGAGAGUGGAAAGUUCACACUGUGACGGUAUCUUACCAGAAAGGGACGGCUAACUACGUG